rfam:Oryza nivara chromosome 1, whole genome shotgun sequence.
AAUAAGUGCAGUUUUAGCACUAUUCAUGUCCAACAUUUGACCGUUCAUCUUAUUUGAAAAAAGAUUAUGAUUAGUAUUUUUAUUGUUAUUAGAUGAUAAAACAUGAAUAGUACUUUAUGUGUGACUAAUUUUUUUAAUAUUUUUCAUAAAUUUUUUAAAUAAGACAGAUGGUUAAAAUGUUGAGCACGUAUAACUAUGGCUGUACUUAUU